rnacentral:lncRNA from 1 species
CGAGAGCGAGACCUGCGUUUAUGCCUGUCCUCUCUAUCAAGUUCCUUUCGCCUGUCAUAGUCUCGCCUUCUGUAAUAAUCAUCGUCGUCAUUUUUAUCCCUCCCUUUUUCCCUUUCUCUUUCCCUUCGGUCCCUGUGAUCGCGAUGGCGAUGAUCUCGAUCUCUCUCCUUUUCUCUCUUCCUGUCCUUUUCCCUCCCUUUCUCUCGUUCUUUUUCCUUUUCUCUGCUGCUUCUUGAUGAAUCUCUAUCAUAAUCACGGUCACCAGAUGCAUGCUUGUGAGUUUUUGAGUCGUGAGGAUAUUGGUGUUCAC